UCACGGAUGGAUAAUGCUUUAGUGAAAUU
rnacentral:sRNA from 1 species